rnacentral:tRNA from 1 species
GGAGGUGAUUGAGGUCUGGUGACCUUCCUGGUCUUCAAAACCAGCGAGACGUUAGCGCGUCUGGUGAGUUCGAUUCUCAUCCACCUCC